rnacentral:rRNA from 1 species
AACGAACGCUGGCGGCAUGCCUAACACAUGCAAGUCGAACGAGACCUUCUUGUCUAGUUGCGCUCGCGUGCGUAACGCGUGGGAACCUGCCCUUAGGUUCCGAAUUACUCCCCGUAAGGGGUGCUAAUACCGGAUAAUGUCUUCUGACCAAAGAUUUAUCGCCUUUGGAUGGGCCCGCGUUGUAUUAGCUUGUUGGUAGGGUAAAAGCCUACCAAGGCUACGAUCCAUAGCUGGUCUGAGAGGAUGAUCAGCCACACUGGGACUGGGACACGGCCUAGACUCCUAGGAGAGGGAGCAGUGGGGAAUAUUGAAAAAUGGGCGAAAGACUGAUGAAGCAAUGCCGUGUAAGUGAUGAAGGCCUGAGGGAUGUAAAGAUCGUUAACACGGGAUGAUAAUGACAGUACCGGGAGAAUAAGCUCCGGCUAACUCCGUG